GGGCUAUAGCUCAGUUGGUAGAGCACCUCGUUUACACCGAGCAGGUCUA
rnacentral:tRNA from 1 species